rnacentral:rRNA from 1 species
GACGAACGCUGGCGGCGUGCUUAACACAUGCAAGUCGAACGGAAAGGCCCUGCUUUUGUGGGGUGCUCGAGUGGCGAACGGGUGAGUAACACGUGAGUAACCUGCCCUUGACUUUGGGAUAACUUCAGGAAACUGGGGCGAAUACCGGAUAGGAGCUCCUGCUGCAUGGUGGGGGUUGGAAAGUUUCGGCGGUUGGGGAUGGACUCGCGGCUUAUCAGCUUGUUGGUGGGGUAGUGGCUUACCAAGGCUUUGACGGGUAGCCGGCCUGAGAGGUGGACCGGCGACAUGGGGCCUGAGAGACGGCCCAGACUCCUACGGGAGGCAGCAGUGGGGAAUAUUGCACAAUGGGCGGAAGCCUGAUGCAGAAACGCCGCGUGCGGGAUGACGGCCUUCGGGUUGUAAACCGCUUUCGCCUGUGACGAAGCGUGAGUGACGGUAAUGGGUAAAGAAGCACCGGCUAACUACGUG